UUGGAAGUCUUUGAGUCCACCACAAUGGCCACUAUAAAAACUUUAGUGCUUUCAAUUUUCUUUUUACAUUUUACUGCAAUCUUCUGCAAAAUUGUAUUGCCACACAAACUAAGGUACUUGGAGAACAUGUUGAACUCCGAAGUAGUAGCCAAAGCAGCCAGAAUACGCCAGAGAAUAGAAGCCAAUCCCAACAUACAAGACAGCGAUAAAGGUUGGCCUAUGCUCCUAGCAAAAUACCAAGCAGACGACAAGAAGAACGUACCAUUUGGAUCAUAUAACAACUUAUAUAAUAGACGUUUACCUAAUUUUUAAUCACACUUCAUUAUUAUGUAUUUAUAUUUACCAAUAAAGAUGGUUUCUGCAAUAUUUUACAAUU